ACCUGUAAUGCUGAGGUAUAUUCCCUAGGAAAGGAGAUUUCUCAGUGUAUCACUUUUCAGCUGAAAUGUCUCCUACUGCCUUGUGGGCAAGCUAGACAUCAGACAAAAUUGCUUUUAUCCAUAAUGAGUUUAUGGUUCAUUUUGAAGAGUGGUCCAGGCUAUUUGUACUGAAAAGCACAUAUCUUCUGUACUAAAAGGCAUGGAAAAUGCAGCAAUACAGACUGCAUUCCUAGGAGCCAUACUUCUUUCCAGACAUACUUAAAACCGCUAAGGAAAUAAGUUCAUUUCAGAGAGAGGAGAUUGCUGUAGACAAACUGUAAAAGGCCCAGAGAAACAGAAAGUGGGAAAGCAGAGUGAAGAUAAAGCCUGUAUGAUGCUAGCUACACUCUCUGCUCACUUCAAAGAAAUAAAAAGCUGUUAAGUUUCUGCUAACUGUCUAAUGUCAAGGGCUUGUUCAGAAUGCAGGUCUGGAUAUCUGCAGAGUUUCUUUGAUUACGAACAACUGCUUAAAUAUGUACACGUUGCUUUUUUAUUCUGUAAGUCCUGAAGAAAGCAGCUGAUCUUUUAAGAGAUGCACUAAGACUUGAGCAUGUUUGUUAUAGUACCAUGACCAUGACAAAAACAUUCUCACAGUUUACAGUGAAAGCAUUCACAGUUCUUAAUUCACAAAGCAUAGGUAAUUCUUAGGAAAUUAUUCAUCAGCUAAAUUUCAAUGUCUAGUAAAGAUGGAAUAUGUGUUCAGAAACAACGGUGAUUAACCAAAGUUGAUCUCUUUUUCUUUCAGCUGUAGCCUCCUUCCUCCCUUCUCUUCCACAGGGUUUCCUCGUCAUCCCAGUGGAAAUUUGUGAUGCUUCUUCAUUCUCCAGCAGUAGGCACCAGCCUUCAAAGAAAUGAACCUCCUUCCUAUUUAAGUGAUCCUCCUUUCCGUGUUUUAAGGUUUUUAUGGGCCCAGUUUCAGUGUGCAGAGAAGGUUUUCUUGUGUCUAUUAAGAGCUGUGCUCAGACUGCAUCCUUUGCCAUAUGGAAACACCGUGAAGACUUCUCUCCAGCUGUUUAACCAUGGAGGAUUUUAACUCUUGCUGAGACCUCUCCUGCUGCUUGAGUUUGGUUGGAAAUAGCCAACAGGGUUAGAAUUUAUCAGGUGGCACCAGCUGCUCAUGGGUCAGUGAGAUGACACAAAGGUGCGCUGAUGCGUCUUGUGAGGAAAUCUGAGUCGUCCCCAGAGCCAGGAAAGUGAGAGCUUCAAUACACAGGCACUCUCUGAAAGCACUGGAAAAUGCUGUCCUCACCACAAGGGAAGUUUGUUUUUCUCUCAUAGAUUGCGCUUUGUAUUGUUGCACUUUCUCCUGUCUCGUCUGUGCAGUUGCAUAAUUUGUGUGUACAAGACACAGCUUUUCUCAGCGCUCUGCUAACCCAGAUGUCCACUGCGCCUCGCCGUGUCAGAGCAGCGUGAGAUUUGCUGGCUGAAGGGCAAGGCUGGGCAAGGGCCACACCACCCUAUUACCCCCUCUGGUGGAUACUCUGCAUCCUCCUGCACUGCCCUCACAUUAAUGGCCCCUCUGUAGAAAGAACAAGUGGAUAUGUGAAAUAAAUUGCUGUUGCUGGGUUUGUUAUAUUGCCAAAAGUACCGGCUGUUCAGUGCCUCUACUGCCCAUGAAAAGCAGUGAGAAGCCAUGAACAAGGCAGACACAAGCCAUGGUAUGAGGGAGUGAGCACAGCAAAGCAGAGCCUUUAAAAGCAAGGGUCCUGUACUCCCAGCCUGUCUUUGCGCAUAUUCCCAGCUACAGCCCUGGUCAUGCUUUCCAGCUAAAGCCUUUGCCUUGCAGUCUUCCACAUGGGAUUAUUUUCCUCAUGAAAAGAAGUUUCAUUAGCUUUACCAGUCCAGACCAGGUUUAUAGAUAAUACCAGUUAGUCCUAGGUGAGGCAUGGUUUAGCCAGUCAGUAUCUCACAGCUAGGCUUGAGGUUGGUAUUGUUUUAUGCCAAUUGAAGGAUUCCCAAAACAGGACAUAUAUAAUUCUGUUCAUGACCAAAUUACACAUCUCCAGCCAGAAUAAUAUACCCAGCUGAAGAAUGUAAAGUGGACUCAUUUUAGCUGCCCGGCUCAUAUUUAAUUCCAGGACAGAACCAGACAGAACGGAGGAGCCACAGCUUUCCCUGGGGAAAGGCACUCCAGGCUUGGUGGGAGUAUUUGCUUGAGAGCAGGGAGUAGGAGCAGAUACAAGGGAUUGGUUUGCUGUAUGAGAAGUACAGUCUGGAUAUGGCUUUCCUUGGCAGGGUGAACAGUGCAUGGAUGGAGAGUAUGAACCCCGAGGAAACUAAACAAUAAUUCCUUGUCAAGUGACAAAGAGUGGCAAAAGGGGCAUCUGCUUUAAUCGGAUCUUGGUACAGAAGUCAUUCUGUUAAUGCAAGGAGUAAGAUUUUAUCCUUACAUAAGUGUUUUCUAUUUUUCUGUGGAUGCACAGAGAAAAAACAUAUUGUACCUCUAGUAUUUACUAGCAUCAAUGGGGGAACUUCACACUGGUCACAAACCCUGAAGCCACAAGAAAGUUAGAAAGUCAUAUUCAGAUAUCACAUUGGUAUGCACUUAAAUGGAUAUUUCAGAUUAAUUCCUUUGCAUGUUCUCUAUAGUUUAAAGAAAAAGCGUUGGCAGUGAUUUUUCCUAACUCCCUACCUUUAAAGUGGGUUGCCUUAGUUACCAUGGCCGGCUUGAGAGAUAGCAAAUUUGGUACUAAUACAUUUUCAGAGCCCUGCAGUUUCUAUAAAAUCUCUGUGUCAAUCAACUACAACAUAUGCUUUUGUCAUAGUGUUAAUAAGCUAUACUAGUGAAGUCUAGUCAACUUAAAUUAGAGGUGCAGAUUGUCACAAGGCAGAACAAUAGCCUUGGGUCAUUACCUUAGUGACUGUCUUGUGUAUAUUGGCAAAAACAGGUUGUGGAAUUUCCCUGUAAUUGGAAAUAAGAUAGGUAACUACAAUCUGUCAUAAACAGAAUUAGCAGGGGUCUCAAAAGCUAUUGAUUGAUCUUGUUCUCAUGAGCACAGAUUUUUGGUUUGAAAACAGCUCUCUGUGUAACCUGUUGCAACAGGGGUAAUUUUUCACCUCCUUGUUUACUUUUGUUCAACUUUUAAAAUUUUAGGUGUAUGAAGUUAGGUUUAGAGAAAUUGUAUAUUAUUCCUGUAACUGCUUAAAGUUCCUAGAACCUCUUUAGAUGUGUAAAGGAGUUGUCUCUUCACAAGGUAAGGAGUUGGUAGCAAAGGAACAAGCUGUGCUCAAGAGGGUGCAUGUUUCUGAGCUCAGGGUUCUGGGUGACAGUGCACGACGGGACAUGUAGUUCUGCUUUAGUGGAAGCAUCUCCUUCACUAAACAGCAGCUGCAGGCUGUGUUGCAGGACUGAAAGGUAAUUUGGACAGAGGGAGCUCUCCUACUGCCCUUUAACCUGAACCUAGCUUUUUGUGAUCAGCUGAGUGAAGAAUAGGAAAAAAAUUAGAUAAACUGUAGUUUAUUUAUGAAAUGGGCCAGUAUGUAUUUCACUGCGGCCCCACUGUUUUUCCUACUCAAUAUUGAUGUUUCUAAACCGUAUAGUUGCCUGAUUUUUAGCUAAAUAUCUCAAACACUGUAAUAAUAGUAAUUUGAAGGAGCAAAAUACUGGAUCUACCUUUUAUUAUGUAAUAGAUUCUCCUGGUAGGAAAAGCAACAUUCCAAGUCUUCAAAGCACUAGCAGAGCCCACCUUUUUUUUUUUUUUUUCAGAAGCUUCUGGUUUUCUGAAAGGUCAGACUUAGAGGCUGAGAUUAUCCACAUGAAGUUUCACCCAUGGCUGAAAUGUCCUACUGAAAAUGUUUUAUGAAGCUUUAAAUGGCAGUGCGGAAAAAUGAAGCAAAAGUCAGCCUCAGCCUUCAGUCACGGAACAAAACCAGGUUCACUUCCCUGACGUUGAACGAGUGGAGUGGCUGAAUAAGGUCCUCGUACAGGCUUGGCCAUACUUUGGGACAAUCAUGGAAAAAACAUUUAAAGAAGUUCUUGAACCAAAAAUCAGAUCAAAGAAUGUACAUCUGAAAACCUGCACCUUUACCAAGAUCCACUUUGGCGAGAAGUGCCCUAGAAUCAACGGAAUAAAAGCCUACACCAAAGAAAUUGAUAGAAGACGAGUUAUCCUAGACCUGCAGAUAUGUUACGUAGGGGACUGUGAGAUUCACAUGGACAUAUCGAAAUUUAAUCUCGGAGUGAAAGGCGUACAGUUGUAUGGGACACUGCGGGUGAUACUGGAACCUCUUCUAACCGAUGCCCCUUUUAUUGGAGCAGUGACUUUGUUUUUUAUGCAGAAACCGCACUUGGAAAUCAACUGGGCAGGCAUGAGCAACCUCCUGGAUGUCCCAGGGAUUAAUGUAAUGUCGGACUCGCUAAUUCAAGACUUCAUUGCUGCACGGCUGGUUCUACCGAAUCGGAUCACAGUGCCUCUCAAGAAGAACAUGAACAUUGCCCACUUGAGGUUCCCUAUCCCACGUGGAGUAAUAAGGGUUCAUUUGCUAGAAGCUGAAAACCUUGUCCAGAAAGACAGUUUCCUUGGUGCCAUCAGGGGGAAGUCUGACCCGUAUGCUCUUCUUCGCCUUGGCACGGUGCAGUAUCGAAGCAAGACAGUUUCCCGAGAUCUUAAUCCCAUUUGGAAUGAGACGUUUGAGUUUGUUGUCCAUGAACUGCCCGGUCAGGACUUAGAAGUGGACUUGUACGAUGAAGAUCCAGAUAAAGAUGACUUCAUGGGCAGCUUGAUUAUAAACCUAGUGGAUGUAAUGAAUGACAGAACUGUUGAUGAGUGGUUUCCCUUGAGUAAGACAACAAGUGGACACUUGCAUUUAAAACUGGAGUGGCUUUCACUAGUAAGUGACCAAGAAAAGCUACAUGAGGAUAAGAAAGGUCUGUCUACAGCUAUUCUGAUAGUCUACUUGGACAGUGCCUUCAACCUUCCAAAAAACCACUUUGAGUAUUCGAAUGGUGAAUGUGGAGCAAAGAAGAUCAAAAAUAACAAGUACCUCAAGAAGAUGGAACGAGAACCUUCCUCCUUCGUCCUGCUCACGGUAGGAAACAAGACUCAGAAAAGCAAGACCUGCAAUUUCAGCAAAGAUCCCACGUGGGGCCAAGCGUUCUCCUUCUUUGUCCACAGUGCUCAUUCCCAGUCGCUCCAUGUUGAGAUAAAAGACAAGGAUCGGGAUAGUGCCCUGGGAACGUCAGUUGUGUGUCUCUCCCACUUACUUAAGGACCCAAACAUGACUCUGGAUCAGAGAUUUCAGCUGGAUCAUUCCAGUUCAGACAGCUUCAUUAAGAUGAAACUUGUGUUGCGGGCCUUGAAUGUUGAAGAACCCGAUCCACAAAGAGUCAAGGCUGGUGUCAAUGCCUCGAAGCAAGGUCCUGUGCGUGUCAUGGAGAAGGGUGGAAACCAGCAGAAGUUUCCCUCCCCAUCAAACCCAGAAGUCUCAAAAGUACCUCCAGUGAGCAAAGACUCUGCAGGGCCUGAAUCCCUGCCAAAAAAGGACAGCAGAGAAGACCUGGACACAACUGACAGUUCAGCAGCGCCUGAACCAAGUGAAACUGUUGUUGGCCUUAAUGAGACAGAGCAUGAGCAAAACCCAGAGCAGCACCCGUCGUCAGCGUUGCACACCAGAGCAGCGGUAGUGCCCACGUUGCCCGUCGUACAAGAAAUGAGGCUUGCGCCCAGUGUUGUCUCGCUGGGUUCUCUGCCUUCUUCUUGCUUUGAAUUAAGUAGCAGCAAUCUGGACCUUCAUAACGGGACUGAAAUGCCCCUGGGCGAGAUCCAGCUGACGGUGCGGUACGCGUCGAUACGGCAGAGUCUCGUCGUGCUGGUGAAUGGCUGCAGAAACUUAGUACCCUGUUCCAAUCGUGGAGUAGAUCCAUAUGUUCGUAUAUACCUGCUUCCAGAUAGAAGAUGGACAAGCAGGAAGAGGACUUCUGUUAAGAAAAAAACUCUGAACCCCCAAUAUGAUGAGAAGUUUGAAUUUUUUGAAUCUUUGGAAGAGGUCAAGAAAAGGACGCUGGACGUUGCAGUGAAAAACAGCAGGCCGUUCAUUUCACAGGAGAGGAAGGAGCUGGGGAAGGUGCGGAUUGACUUGUCACAGGAGGACUUAAUAAAAGGUUUUGCACAGUGGCCAAGGAAUGCGGCGCGGGUAGUCCAGGAGCUUCCCUCCUCACGGGCAGCGAGCCAGGCCUGGCCAGCGGGAUGGGAAACCCGAGUUUCCCCCGUCUGUGUCCCACGUGAGCAUGCGGCAAUUUUGGGAGUAGGAGAAAAAUGACACAUCCAGAGUUUCCUGGUAAAGAGCUGGAGUUGGAGGCCACCUCUGCACCCUCCCUUGCCAUCUGCCUAUGGAGCACACUCAGUAUGAACUGACAAGGUGUAGACGCAAGAAAAACUGAUUUCUUCUCAAGUACCUAAGUUACUAAUUUUUCAACUUUAUAUGAAUGUAUAUAUCUCUUUUGUAAUUAAUGUGUUUUGAACAAUAACUGCAACUUUGAAGCAGUCUCUGGCUCAGGACGUGUAAAUGUAAUGAUCCUACUUAGAAAAUUGUUCUCACUGAAGUAAAAGAACAAAACAACAAAAAACAAACCCACGCAAGAGUAAGUUGUCCCUAAAAAAUAUGUCCUUUGUUUUUGCUGUUUCUGGCAUAUUUCCCCAAAGAACCCUGAAGUAUGAAUCCUCUCUUAAGGACCUGUUGAACCUGGAGAUAUUUUAGACUGUCGCCUCAGUGUCAUUACUUUGCUUGGCAGUCUCAUUUCCCCAAGGUUCUAUUCAGGUUGUUUUAACAUGAAUUCAUUGUACUUUUAGAAGAAUAAAUUUUUAAACAGCAUUUUUCAUCUGUAGGGCUACAGAACCUGUUGAAAGAAACUGUUUAAGACUCUAAUAUGAAUUAGUUUUUGAGAAACUAAGACAUUGAUAUUCUGCUGUUCAAAGGUCUCUUAGCAGAUUGUGGCUGCAGGUAUGUAUAUAAUGAGCUUCCAAAAGCAGGGAGAUUAGUUUACUAAGUUGUCAUAAAGGUUUUAUUUUGUGAUGCCUUAACAUGUUUUGUUCGUUAAAGUACAUUUCAAAAACCUUGUAUAUCUUGAGAGCAAAGCACUCUGCCUGAGGAACAGCAGAGUCUUGCAAACUAAGCUUUAGUAGUGUUGGAGCAAAAUAUACCAAAAUAUUUUUGGAAGCUUGGUGUACUUGUUUCUGUACAAUAAACUUCUGAUUGUCUUGCAUAUGAAA